UACGUAGGUGGCAAGCGUUGUCCGGAUUUACCGGGCGAAAGAGCGCGCAGGCGGUCGUUCAAGUCGCGUGUGAAAGCCCCCGGCUCAACUGGGGAGGGUCACGCGAUACUGAUCGACUCGAAGGCAGGAGAGGGUAGUGGAAUUCCCGGUGUAGUGGUGAAAUGCGUAGAUAUCGGGAGGAACACCAGUGGCGAAGGCGACUACCUGGCCUGUUCUUGACGCUGAGGCGCGAAAGCUAGGGGAGCAAACGGG
rnacentral:rRNA from 1 species